AGAACAUGAGGCAAAUGGAUCGGGUU
rnacentral:piRNA from 1 species